UAAGACCUUGUUAAGUCUGCUUAAAUGUAGUUAAAAAUUUUUUUUUUUUUUAAAGAUACUGGCUACAUCAGAAAUCAGCUUCUAGCAAGGUGAGGUCAUUCUCCGCACCGGUGCUCCCAAAGGCCAUUGCCACCUCAGGCAGAUCUGAUGGCAGGAGAUUGUUACUAAGGGAACUGUGGGGGCGUGAAUGUAAAUUUCGUUUCUCAAAAGAUCUAACUAGAGUAUUGAUCCAAAGGGAGCAGCCAGUAAAUGCAGGAUGGAGAGCUCUUUGCUAAUCCAAAUAAACUAGAGAAAUAUACAACCUCGACCUUCUGAGUGCCAAGAUCACCAAGACUGUGGGCUUGUGUGCCACCUUGCCCAGCUGCUGUGACUCUGUCUAACAGGAGCCCUGGCCAGGCCCUGGACCUGCAUGAUCCUGGUGGCUCACAAGCAACCACCUCAGCAAGGCAAGGACGUGGCAUGCCUCCUGUUCUGUUUCCUGUCAGAUCAUGAUGAGCCCAAGAGUGACUGAGUCAAGACUCAAGCUCUAUGGUCUGGAUUCCUCCCCAUCCCCACCUCCACACCAGCGUCAGGUGAAUCAGGAGGUCAUACGGUAUCCUUCUAUUACGUAAGGUGACAAGGCCUUUCUCAGACAUUAUUUUCCAGUUCCUUCUCCGGUUCCAUUUCAGUCUACACGUCUCCUGUUUCCCCACACCCCACAACACUCUAAUGAGCUGCUCCAUGUCCUGAAAUAUAUGCACAUCCUUGUUAAGGAUGUAACGUUGUUUUGAAUAUGUAUGCAUUCUAAACUUAAAUAAAAAGGCAUUGUGCUAUCGA